rnacentral:rRNA from 1 species
GUGAGGAAUAUUGGUCAAUGGGCGCGAGCCUGAACCAGCCAAGUCGCGUGAGGGAAGACGGUCCUAUGGAUUGUAAACCUCUUUUGUCGGGGAGCAAUGGUCUUCACGAGUGAAGACUGUGAGAGUACCCGAAGAAAAAGCAUCGGCUAACUCCGUGCCAGCAGCCGCGGUAAUACGGAGGAUGCGAGCGUUAUCCGGAUUUAUUGGGUUUAAAGGGUGCGUAGGCGGUAUGUCAAGUCAGCGGUAAAAUUGAGAGGCUCAACCUCUUCAAGCCGUUGAAACUGGCAUACUUGAGUGGGCGAGAAGUAUGCGGAAUGCGUGGUGUAGCGGUGAAAUGCAUAGAUAUCACGCAGAACUCCGAUUGCGAAGGCAGCAUACCGGCGCCCAACUGACGCUGAAGCACGAAAGCGUGGGUAUCGAACAGGA